GUGGAUAACCUACCUAUAAGACUGGGAUAACUUCGGGAAACCGGAGCUAAUACCGGAUAAUAUUUUGAACCGCAUGGUUCAAAAGUGAAAGACGGUCUUGCUGUCACUUAUAGAUGGAUCCGCGCUGCAUUAGCUAGUUGGUAAGGUAACGGCUUACCAAGGCAACGAUGCAUAGCCGACCUGAGAGGGUGAUCGGCCACACUGGAACUGAGACACGGUCCAGACUCCUACGGGAGGCAGCAGUAGGGAAUCUUCCGCAAUGGGCGAAAGCCUGACGGAGCAACGCCGCGUGAGUGAUGAAGGUCUUCGGAUCGUAAAACUCUGUUAUUAGGGAAGAACAUAUGUGUAAGUAACUGUGCACAUCUUGACGGUACCUAAUCAGAAAGCCACGGCUAACUACGUGCCAGCAGCCGCGGUAAUACGUAGGUGGCAAGCGUUAUCCGGAAUUAUUGGGCGUAAAGCGCGCGUAGGCGGUUUUUUAAGUCUGAUGUGAAAGCCCACGGCUCAACCGUGGAGGGUCAUUGGAAACUGGAAAACUUGAGUGCAGAAGAGGAAAGUGGAAUUCCAUGUGUAGCGGUGAAAUGCGCAGAGAUAUGGAGGAACACCAGUGGCGAAGGCGACUUUCUGGUCUGUAACUGACGCUGAUGUGCGAAAGCGUGGGGAUCAAACAGGAUUAGAUACCCUGGUAGUCCACGCCGUAAACGAUGAGUGCUAAGUGUUAGGGGGUUUCCGCCCCUUAGUGCUGCAGCUAACGCAUUAAGCACUCCGCCUGGGGAGUACGACCG
rnacentral:rRNA from 1 species